AGAGCUAAAGCUUUGAAAUCAUACAAACCUGGUUAAAAUCCACUUGCACUUACUGGCAUUAAGACUUUGGCCAAUUUAUUUAAUCUGUGCAUGUGUGUAUAAUGGUAAUGAUAACAAUGCUUAAUUCAGGAGGCUAUUGAGAAGAUUAAGGUAAUAUAGGUAAACUGCUCAGCAUGGUACCUGCUGUAUAGUUAGUGCUCACCUAGAAUUGUGGUGAAGACAGAAGAUGAUCUGAGUAUGAACAAGGCUCACCACAACUUGGAGCUUGCCGAUGAUAGCUUCAUUUAGGUUUCAAAGCCAGAGAUGAGUUCCAGCCACAGCUCCCUGCUCUGCUCCUGAGUCCCACGAAGUGAAACCAGGUCAGCCACUAUUUGCACCAGUGAGCAGAUGGCUCAGAACUAGGAAGGAGGUUUGACAGUGAUGAAAUGUGCAAGGAGAAACUAGCAAAAGAGUGUUACCUGGGGGAGCUCUGAAAGCACAGAUGCCUGGGUCCUCUCCUUCCCCCUUGGAAACUGCCCCAGAGAUCCUGAUGCAAGGAACCUUGGAGGCAGUGAGGGAAUCAAGGCUUUUAAAAAUUCCCCAAGUGAUUCUACUGUAUAACCAAGAUCAAGAAUGAGCUUUGCGCCCGUGUUUUGUCGGUGAAUGGAUCCAUUUUGGAGACCACCACUCUAGACAGUUCCUACUGCUCCUGUUACCUGUACCAAGAGCUCUUUUCUCCUUUAUUUCACAAAGAACUUCUUAAGAUCCUAAGAAAUGCAGCCUCAGUUAGAGCUCCGCAAUGCACUCUAGAAGGGAACUCAUCUGGAUUCCCUUCACCGGGUAGAAAGUGCAGCCCUCAGCCAGAAACACUACCUCUGAUGCCAAGGAUCCCACACAGCAUCCAGACUAUUCAGUCCACCGACUCUCUACUAUUUAUCUUAAAUCGAUGCCAGUCCACUGCGGCCUGGGUGGUCCAAGCUUGCGUUGCAGGCAGCUGCAGAGGUUCCAGCAGGCUGGAAGCCUCUGACGCAACCUUCCUUGUGAGGACUGAUUGGCCAAGAGCUGGCAGCCAGCCACGG